AAGCGUGGGUAGCAAACAGGAUUAGAUACCCUGGUAGUCCACGCCGUAAACGAUGGGUACUAGGUGUAGGAGGUAUCGACCCCUUCUGUGCCGCCGUUAACACAAUAAGUACCCCGCCUGGGGAGUACGGUCGCAAGACUAAAACUCAAAGGAAUUGACGGGGGCCCGCACAAGCAGCGGAGCAUGUGGUUUAAUUCGAAGCAACGCGAAGAACCUUACCUAGACUUGACAUCUCCUGAAUUACCCUUAAUCGGGGAAGCCCUUCGGGGCAGGAAGACAGGUGGUGCAUGGUUGUCGUCAGCUCGUGUCGUGAGAUGUUGGGUUAAGUCCCGCAACGAGCGCAACCCUUGUCAUUAGUUGCUACCGCAAGGAGCACUCUAAUGAGACUGCCGGUGACAAACCGGAGGAAGGUGGGGAUGACGUCAGGUCCUCAUGGCCCUUAUGGGUAGGGCUACACACGUCAUACAAUGGCCGGUACAGAGGGCUGCCAACCCGCGAGGGGGAGCCAAUCCCAGAAAACCGGUCGUAGUCCGGAUCGUAGUCUGCAACUCGACUGCGUGAAGUCGGAAUCGCUAGUAAUCGCGGAUCAGCUUGCCGCGGUGAAUACGUUCCCGGGUCUUGUACACACCGCCCGUCACACCAUGGGAGCGGGUUCUGCCAGAAGUAGUUAGCCUAACCGCAAGGAGGGCGAUUACCACGGCAGGGUUCGUGACUGGGGUGAAGUCGUAACAAGGUAGCCGUAUCGGAAGGUGCGGCUGGAUCACCUCCUU
rnacentral:rRNA from 1 species